CGGUGGGGAUUAGUGGCGAACGGGUGAGUAACACGUGGGCAAUCUGCCCUUCACUCUGGGACAAGCCCUGGAAACGGGGUCUAAUACCGGAUAACACUGCGGAUCGCAUGGUCUGCGGUUAAAAGCUCCGGCGGUGAAGGAUGAGCCCGCGGCCUAUCAGCUUGUUGGUGAGGUAAUGGCUCACCAAGGCGACGACGGGUAGCCGGCCUGAGAGGGCGACCGGCCACACUGGGACUGAGACACGGCCCAGACUCCUACGGGAGGCAGCAGUGGGGAAUAUUGCACAAUGGGCGAAAGCCUGAUGCAGCGACGCCGCGUGAGGGAUGACGGCCUUCGGGUUGUAAACCUCUUUCAGCAGGGAAGAAGCGAAAGUGACGGUACCUGCAGAAGAAGCGCCGGCUAACUACGUGCCAGCAGCCGCGGUAAUACGUAGGGCGCAAGCGUUGUCCGGAAUUAUUGGGCGUAAAGAGCUCGUAGGCGGCUUGUCACGUCGAUUGUGAAAGCCCGAGGCUUAACCUCGGGUCUGCAGUCGAUACGGGCUAGCUAGAGUGUGGUAGGGGAGAUCGGAAUUCCUGGUGUAGCGGUGAAAUGCGCAGAUAUCAGGAGGAACACCGGUGGCGAAGGCGGAUCUCUGGGCCAUUACUGACGCUGAGGAGCGAAAGCGUGGGGAGCGAACAGGAUUAGAUACCCUGGUAGUCCACGCCGUAAACGGUGGGAACUAGGUGUUGGCGACAUUCCACGUCGUCGGUGC
rnacentral:rRNA from 1 species